GACGAACGCUGGCGGCGUGCUUAACACAUGCAAGUCGAACGGAAAGGCCCUGCUUUUGUGGGGUGCUCGAGUGGCGAACGGGUGAGUAACACGUGAGUAACCUGCCCUUGACUUUGGGAUAACUUCAGGAAACUGGGGCUAAUACCGGAUAGGAGCUCCUGCUGCAUGGUGGGGGUUGGAAAGUUUCGGCGGUUGGGGAUGGACUCGCGGCUUAUCAGCUUGUUGGUGGGGUAGUGGCUUACCAAGGCUUUGACGGGUAGCCGGCCUGAGAGGGGGACCGGCCACAUUGGGACUGAGAGACGGCCCAGACUCCUACGGGAGGCAGCAGUGGGGAAUAUUGCACAAUGGGCGGAAGCCUGAGGCAGCAACGCCGCGUGCGGGAUGACGGCCUUCGGGUUGUAAACCGCUUUCGCCGGUGACGAAGCGGGAGUGACGGUAAUGGGUAAAGAAGCACCGGCUAACUACGUG
rnacentral:rRNA from 1 species